rnacentral:tRNA from 1 species
CCCUCGAUAGCUCAGUUGGCAGAGCGGAGGACUGUAGAUGUUACAACGGUGAUCCAUCCUUAGGUCGCUGGUUCAAAUCCGGCUCGAGGGA